UAUUAGUCUAUUCUUGCACUGCUAUAGAGAAAUAUCUGAGUCUGGGUAAUUUAUAAAGAAAAUAGGUUUAAUCAGCUCACAGUUCUGCAGGGUGUACAGUAAGUAUAGUGGCUUCUGCUUAUGGGGUGGCCUCAGGAAACUUACAAUCAUGGCAGAAGGCAAAGGUGAAUGAAAACAAACACAUCUCACAUGGCAG